AACGCACAUUGCGCCCGCCAGUAUUCUGGCGGGCAUGCCUGUUCGAGCGUCAUUAACACCCCUCAAGCCCCCGGGCUUGGUGUUGGGGAUCGGGAACGGCGGAAGUCGAAGGGAAGCAAACCCCUCCGGCCGAAGCCCCCGUCCCCCAAAUGCAUCGGCGGUCACGCCGCGGCCUCUUGCGCGUAGUAGCUAACACCUCGCGCCGGAGCCCGUCGUGGUCCACGCCGUAAAACCCCCGACUUUUUCAAAGUUGACCUCGAAUCAGGUAGGACUACCCGCUGAACUUAA
rnacentral:misc_RNA from 1 species